rnacentral:lncRNA from 1 species
UGGCCAUGUUUUUCUCAAUUAAUCUUUUUCUUCUAGGUAUGUGUUGCAGGUUGGAUUCUGUGAAAGCCAACUCUGAGAAAGAGAUUAAAAUGCUAGGAGUUUAUUAGGAAGUGCAGUUGGAGUCAGCACCUGUAGAAGAAAGAGAUAGAGAUAGGACUGGGAGGUGAGAGAAACUCUUGCAGGCAUCAGUCUCAACAAGGUUUCAACCAAUUACAUGGGAGCUCUGGAGCUGUUAAUAGAUGGCCCUUCAGUGGCCUUUUGUUGCUGGGAGGAGCCCGGGUGUCCAUACUUUUAUAUCAACCAGGCAUUGGAUGUAGGCUUCUUCAGGAAGGAGGUAUGACCUUGAGCAAUGCAGGGCUCUUCAACUAAGGGCAAUUUUCUGAGAUUUCCUGAAACAUAUAGUUGAGCAUUAUCUUCCAGGAGCACUCCUCGCAGAUGGGAGCACAGGUUCUUCUGACCUGCAGGGGAAUCUAAGCAGCCAAAUACAACAAUUACAUACUUCCUCUUAAGUUAUCUUUUCUGGAGUCUGUUCAGAAGCUAAAUUUGCUUUUUUGUUUUAUAUUUAAUAACUAUCAAUGGCUGUUAUUUUGAAGUCAAUUAAUAAAAGGAAAGUUUGCUAGUAGGAGAUGUCACAGAAUUCAUGAAAGCCCUUUGACAAUUUGCUACGCCUCUUGUAUGUACUGGGAUUGGAUAUAGUGAUAUGCACUAUAUCCAACAGGGGAUAUUUCCUUCCUUCCUUCCUUCCUUCCUUCCUUCCUUCCUUCCUUCCUUCCUUCCUUCCUUCCUUCCUUCCUCUCUCUCUUUCUUUCUUUCUUUUUCUUUCUUUCUUUCUUUUUCUUUCUUUCUUUCUUUUUCUUUCAUCUUUCUUUCUCUUUCUUUAUUCUUUCUCAUAUUAGGCAUCUAAAGCUCUUGGUAUUGACAGAUAAGCAAGAUUCAACUAAAAUGGAACUUCUAAAGUAAAUAGUAAACUUGGGGGUAAGUAAAUAAUUAAUUUUUAAAAAGGAACUAUCAUUAUUUAGCCCAGAGAAGAAACUUUUUGUAUGGUUGGAGGACAGAGAUGUGCCAUCCUCUUUAUGUGCAGAAAGGAUAAGUUGUUUGAUUUUUGUUUAAUAACAGGUGGAACUUUAGUAAGAAUAAGGUAGGUGGUGUGUGCCUACAGCAAAAUAAUGGAACAAACCAGAAACCCAGCUGUUUGAUUUGAAUUUAUUUGGUUACAGUGUUUUGGUAACAUAAAGAGAAAAAGGGAAUUUAUUAGAAAGAUACCUGUUUAAAACCUAUCACCAUAAUCCAAAAAGGAGUUGGAAAAUCAAUCACACAGUAUCUUUCAAGGUUUCUAUAGAAUUUUAACUUUCACUCAAGAGAAAAGCCAUUAAUGCAAUUUGGCUGUGACUCAACAUAAUAUUUCUUACUCUCAAAUCUGUAUUCAUCGGGAGAAAUUGCAACUGACUCAGAUUCAGUAAAGUGUCUAUUUCUAGAUUAAAUAAGGGUAGCAGGUGGGCGGGAUCAUGUUAAGCUCAUGGAGCAGCUUUCUUGUGGGCAAUGGAAGGCUCUGUCGUAGCGAUCAAUUCUUCUGUUUACUACUACUCGGCAAAUAGGGACACUAUUUUACUUAGUGUACAUAGGCAAAUAUCAAGGGUGUGUGUGUGUGUGUGUGUGUUGUAAAAUGGAAGUAACUAAAAGGAAAACAUUUUAGAUAUAUGUUAUUAUAAAAUAAGAUAAAUUCCCAUGCAUUUGGGAUGAUUUAAACAUGUUUCUUUAUAAAAUCAAGAAGAUUAGCUGAUUUAUAUGAUUUGCUUCAAUAUACUGGGCUUGCAACUGGAGAAGGC